CGAACGGGUGAGUAACACGUGGGCAAUCUGCCCUGCACUCUGGGACAAGCCCUGGAAACGGGGUCUAAUACCGGAUACUGACCCUCGCGGGCAUCUGCGAGGUUCGAAAGCUCCGGCGGUGCAGGAUGAGCCCGCGGCCUAUCAGCUUGUUGGUGAGGUAAUGGCUCACCAAGGCGACGACGGGUAGCCGGCCUGAGAGGGCGACCGGCCACACUGGGACUGAGACACGGCCCAGACUCCUACGGGAGGCAGCAGUGGGGAAUAUUGCACAAUGGGCGAAAGCCUGAUGCAGCGACGCCGCGUGAGGGAUGACGGCCUUCGGGUUGUAAACCUCUUUCAGCAGGGAAGAAGCGAAAGUGACGGUACCUGCAGAAGAAGCGCCGGCUAACUACGUGCCAGCAGCCGCGGUAAUACGUAGGGCGCAAGCGUUGUCCGGAAUUAUUGGGCGUAAAGAGCUCGUAGGCGGCUUGUCGCGUCGGUUGUGAAAGCCCGGGGCUUAACCCCGGGUCUGCAGUCGAUACGGGCAGGCUAGAGUUCGGUAGGGGAGAUCGGAAUUCCUGGUGUAGCGGUGAAAUGCGCAGAUAUCAGGAGGAUCGCCGUUGUCAAAGUCGUCUCGGCGCAGCAUUACAUACCCUGGUA
rnacentral:rRNA from 1 species